UAUCUGAUCCACAACUAGUUCUUAUUUUGGCAUUUAAUUAAUUUAUGGUCACUUUUAUGCUUCGUUAGUUAUUUGCAUUUUGUCCAUUGGCAGGUCAAAAAGAUGAUACUUUAUGCUGCAAGUUCAGCUAUCAGAGAGAUCAGGGAAUUGCUGUUAAAGCUUUGACUGAGAAAUUCUUCAAAUAUCCUUUUGAGUAACACGGAGAAAUAUAGACGCUUCGAUCCUCCCAGUUACCAACCACAUACCUCAAUGGACAAAAUUACUUGCAGUGUUGGUAGGCCGUGAUGAUGUUUAUAUGCGGAAAGGUGAGGAUAACUACAUCUAUGGAGCAACUAUGAAGUCAGCUGUCUCUUAUUCAAGAAGUUGUGGAAAGCUGAAAACAGAUUUGAGCUCGGGGGAGAAGGUCGGCAGUGUUAAGGAGUGUGCAGACGGCUACAUUCUUAAACUACGAACCCUAGAAGCAUAACUUAAAUUGGCAGUGGCUUGGAAGAACUUGAAGAUGAAACCAUCUUAGUUACUCAUUAUACGGAUCAUGGAUGCGUAGUGAUUGGACCAUGUUCGAAUACCAGUUUUGUGUAACGUCAUUGGGCAAUGGAAAGGUUUGAUGGAAAAUUUUGGUGGCUUCUCUUCUGAAAUAACAUCUUAAUUCAUGCAGGAUGGGUUAAAUUUUGCUUCUUACAGGAUAGUUUCUGUAAUAUAUAGGGUGAAGCAAUUGAUGGUAGUCCUCUACAUUUACUAUGAAACUAAGACUUCAGUAUAGGCAUGUUUCGAUUAUGAAAAAAAAGAAAAAAAGAAAAAAAAAAAAAAAACUCUUAUCACCUGAGGAAAUAAGAUAGCAACAGUAUCAGUGAAUUGCUUCAA